rnacentral:rRNA from 1 species
UACGUAGGCAGCAAGCGUUGUUCGGAGUUACUGGGCGUAAAGGGUGCGUAGGCGGUUGUUUAAGUUUGGUGUGAAAUCUCCCGGCUCAACUGGGAGGGUGCGCCGAAUACUGAAUGACUAGAGUGCGGGAGAGGAGAGUGGAAUUCCUGGUGUAGCGGUGAAAUGCGUAGAUAUCAGGAGGAACACCGGUGGUGUAGACGGCUCUCUGGAACGCAACUGACGCUGAGACGCGAAAGCGUGGGGAGCAAACAGG